GACGAACGCUGGCGGCGUGCUUAACACAUGCAAGUCGAGCGGUAAGGCCCUUUCGGGGGUACACGAGCGGCGAACGGGUGAGUAACACGUGGGUGACCUGCCCUUAGCUCUGGGAUAAGCCUGGGAAACUGGGUCUAAUACCGGAUAUGACUCCCAUAACGCAUGUUGUGGGGUGGAAAGCCUUGUGCGGCUAGGGAUGGGCCCGCGGCCUAUCAGCUUGUUGGUGGGGUNAUGGCCACCAAGGCGACGACGGGUAGCCGGCCUGAGAGGGCGACCGGCCACACUGGGACUGAGACACGGCCCAGACUCCUACGGGAGGCAGCAGUGGGAAUCUUGCGCAAUGGGCGAAAGCCUGACGCAGCGACG
rnacentral:rRNA from 1 species